rnacentral:rRNA from 1 species
UACGUAGGCAGCAAGCGUCGUUCGGAGUUACUGGGCGUAAAGGGUGUGUAGGCGGUUCUUUAAGUUUGGUGUGAAAUCUCCCGGCUCAACUGGGAGGGUGCGCCGAAUACUGAGGGACUAGAGUACGGGAGAGGAAAGUGGAAUUCCUGGUGUAGCGGUGAAAUGCGUAGAUAUCAGGAGGAACACCGGUGGUGUAGACGGCUUUCUGGACCGACACUGACGCUGAGACACGAAAGCGUGGGUAGCAAACAGG